AACGCGAAAGAGGGGUAACCCUUGAGUAGAGUGGCGGACGGGUGAGUAAUACGUAGGAAUCUGCCCUAGAGUGGGGGAUAACCUGUCGAAAGACGGGCUAAUACCGCAUACUCUCUAUGGAGCAAAGGGGCCUUGUAGUAAUACAAGGUUUCGCUUUAGGAUGAGCCUACGUCGGAUUAGCUAGUUGGUAGGGUAAAGGCCUACCAAGGCAACGAUCCGUAGCUGGUCUGAGAGGACGAUCAGCCACACUGGAACUGAGACACGGUCCAGACUCCUACGGGAGGCAGCAGUGGGGAAUAUUGGACAAUGGGGGAAACCCUGAUCCAGCAAUGCCGCGUGUGCGAUGAAGGCCUGCGGGUUGUAAAGCACUUUCGGUGGGAAAGAAAUACUCAAAGUUAAUACCUUUGAGUGCUGACGUUACCCACAGAAGAAGCACCGGCAAACUCUGUGCCAGCAGCCGCGGUAAUACAGAGGGUGCAAGCGUUAAUCGGAGUUACUGGGCGUAAAGGGCGCGUAGGUGGACCUUUAAGUCGAUUGUGAAAUCCCUGGGCUUAACCUAGGAAUUGCAGUCGAUACUGAUGGUCUAGAGUAUGGUAGAGGAAAGUAGAAUUCUCGGUGUAGUGGUAAAAUACGUAGAUAUCGAGAGGAAUACCGGUGGCGAAGGCGACUUUCUGGCCCAAUACUGACACUGAGGCGCGAAAGCGUGGGGAGCAAACAGGAUUAGAUACCCUGGUAGUCCACGCUGUAAACGAUGAGAACUAGAUGUUGUUUAGGCGUAAGCCUAGGCAGUAUCGUAGCUAACGCAUUAAGUUCUCCGCCUGGGGAGUA
rnacentral:rRNA from 1 species